CAGAAACAGCAACAGCAAGGUUUUUUGACAAGCUUAUGUGACAUUUUAUUUGAUCGAUCGUUCCAGUUCCUAUCGCAGAAAUACUAUUAUACUUUCUUCCUAUAGUCCUAUGUUCUGAGUACAGCAAAAAGGGAGAUGUACAAAGUUUCAACGAGAUAGGAGGGGCUAUGGAAAGAAGCAGACUUUGAUCGUAUUUCUGAUCAGGAACCUUCUUCAAGGAUAAAGUCAGUCAGCGACAUAGAGUCAAACGUGAUCCUUAUUUAUCUGCUUGGACAUCUCAGAGGGAGUCUCAAGAUGCAGGUUCUGCCAGAUGGUCCUUGCUUAUUACAAUUGGAACUCUUUAACAAAAGGAUGAUCAAUAACCACAAACUUUAUUAUUCAUACAUAUGUAACAUGCUUGUACGGUCACACUUAAAUGCGCUGCUGACUGCUGACUGGACCCGAACAGAGCCGGAGUGGCCUUCGGCUCAUAAUCCAUACGAUCAUUGUUAAGCCGAAGUAAGCCGAAACCUCCGAUCCGAAAACGAGCAGCAAGGCACUGAUUGAGUGGUUUAAAAUCAACAGCGAACAAUGCUAAGAUUCUUUAGAUGUGCAUUUCAAUGAUUCUGUGACUUCUGAGUAAUGGGAUAGAUGUCGCAUCCGUGUUGCUUAUUUAAGGAUUACAUGUCAAUAUAAUGGGGUUCUUUGUUUAAGGCCAUAACACACCGGUGUUAUUUGGAAGUCCAAGCGGAUCCACAAAAUGUUAAGUUUAGAUGUGAAAGCACACUUAAAACAAUUGGAGAGAAACAACAAAACAUACUGAAUCAGAAAAUACUAACACAGAACAUUUAUUUGGCAUACUGGUGCGAGUAUUUUCCAUAUUUUCAAUUUG